UUCGCUUCGGCGUGAGAGUUUGAUCCUGGUCAGAGGAACGUGGCGGAGGCUAACACAUGCAAGUCGAACGGACCCUUCGGGGUUAGUGGCGGACGGGUGAGUAACACGUGGGAACGUGCCUUUAGGUUCGGAAUAGCUCCUGGAAACGGGUGGUAAUGCCGAAUGUGCCCUUCGGGGGAAAGAUUUAUCGCCUUUAGAGCGGCCCGCGUCUGAUUAGCUUGAGGUGGGGAAAUGGCCCACCAAGGCUACGACCAGUAGCUGGUCUGAGAGGAUGACCAGCCACAUAGGGACUGAGACACGCCCAAACCCACGGAGGCAGCAGU
rnacentral:rRNA from 1 species